GUCCGAUUAGCUCAGUUGGUAGAGCAUCUGACUUGCAAAGCAGAAGGUUGCAGGUUCGAGUCCUGUAUCGGGCU